GACAUCUGUUGAAACAGCAAAGGAAGAGCAAGAUGAACGUGCUUUUCAGGAAGAGGAAAACAAUGAUCCCAGUGGCUCUGAGGAUGACGUCGGGGAAGAAGCUGUUUUAUGAACGACAAAAACUUUACCAGCAAUUAAGAUUGAUUCAGAGCCAAAAGCUGAAUACAAUUCAACAGAUAUGUGACCAGUUUUCAAAGGU